rnacentral:rRNA from 1 species
UACGUAGGGGGCAAGCGUUGUCCGGAAUUAUUGGGCGUAAAGCGCGUGUAGGCGGUCCGGUAAGUCGGUUGUGAAAGUCCAGGGCUCAACCCUGGGAUGCCGAUCGAUACUGCCGGACUAGAGUCCGGAAGAGGCGAGUGGAAUUCCUGGUGUAGCGGUGAAAUGCGCAGAUAUCAGGAGGAACACCAAUGGCGAAGGCAGCUCGCUGGGACGUUACUGACGCUGAGACGCGAAAGCGUGGGGAGCGAACAGG